ACCUUGAUGGCUGCGAGUCUGGUCAGUUCGACCACUUCAAUACGCAGAUCACUUUGCUGAUAAAGUAGAUUCUGCUCAUCGGCAGCACUAGCUUCCAGCUUCACAUGUUCCACCGACGUCAGAGAAUGCUGUCAUGGUGUACAAAAGUCAUUGGUGGAGCUCAUAUGAAAAAUAAUCCAUGUAUUCAAAGCUGCAUUCGCGACUGGCUGAGAACCCUUUCUGUUACACCGCUAUGCAAGUAAUAUGGCAUCAGACAUAUGGUUAAGGACCACACAGAUGAAAGAGGAAACCUGCUGCUUCCACUCCAAAACUCUUUUUAAUUAGCAGCAAUAGAUCUUUUGCAUACACCAUCUCACAGACCAUCUGUACCAGUCAGAACAUUUUAACUUCCAGAAUAAAAAUUAAUGUGAAACAUGUGUGUUCUAAUUUAAAAUAAUUUGGGCACAAAAAAUGUGUCCAUAUUUUCGUUUAAACAAAAAUAUACAUAUUAUAUAUAUAUAUUUAUUCUAUAACUUACCCAUGAUAUCCAUGUCAUAAAUCCAUGUGAUAAUUUAGUGUAUUAACCCGGUUAA